rnacentral:rRNA from 1 species
CCUACGGGUGGCAGCAGUGGGGAAUAUUGCACAAUGGGGGAAACCCUGAUGCAGCGACGCCGCGUGAGUGAAGAAGCGCCUCGGCGCGUAAAGCUCUGUCAGCAGGGACGACGAUGACGGUACCUGAAGAAGAAGCCCCGGCUAACUACGUGCCAGCAGCCGCGGCAAAACGCAGGGGGAGAGCGUUAACCGGAUUUACUGGGGUUAAAGGGAGCGUAGACGGCGGGGCAAGUCUGGGGUGAAAGGCCGGGGCCCAAACCCGGGACCGCUGUGGAAACUGCCCGGCUGGAGUGCGGGAGAGGUAAGCGGAAUGCCUGGUGUAGCGGUGAAAUGCGUAGAUAUUAGGAGGAACACCAGCGGCGAAGGCGGCUUACUGGACCGUGACUGACGUUGAGGCACGAAAGCGUGGGGAGCAAACAGGAUUAGAUACCCGGGUAGUC